UGGUACCCAUAAAUAUGUCGUUGUUUCGGACAAACUUAGCAUCUUUACCACAAAUAAAUGAUAUAUUUCUGACAAAUAAUAAAAUAAUUCGAGUCAACUGUUAUAUUUACUUGUACCAAAU